AGGUCGUUCCAAAGAGGGCUUGUGGGACCAAAAUCAAGAUCGCUUCAUGCUGUCACCAAAUAUCACUGUUCUAUGUAGGCUGGAAUAUUGCUAUGUUUCCCUGAGGAGAUAGAAGA
ensembl:snoRNA